GAUGAACGCUAGCGGCAGGCCUAAUACAUGCAAGUCGAACGGUGUCUUCGGACAUAGUGGCGCACGGGUGCGUAACACGUAUGCAACCUACCUUACAUUGGGGGAUAGCCUUUCGAAAGGGAGAUUAAUACCGCAUAAGACAGUAACUAGGCAUCUAGUAGCUGUUAAAGAUUUAUCGAUGUAAGCUGGGCAUGCGUCCAAUUAGCUAGUUGGUGAGGUAACGGCUCACCAAGGCAAGGAUUGGUAGGGGAACUGAGAGGUCAACCCCCCACACUGGCACUGGGAUACGGGCCAGACGCCUACGGGAGGCAGCAGUAGGGAAUAUUGGGCAAUGGACGCAAGUCUGACCCAGCCAUGCCGCGUGCAGGAUGAAGGCGUUAUGCGUUGUAGACUGCUUUUAUACAGGAAGAAACGACUCUUGCGAGAGGCAUUGACGGUACUGUAUGAAUAAGUACCGGCUAACUCCGUGCCAGCCGCCGCAGUAAAAC
rnacentral:rRNA from 1 species